GGAAUAUUAAGUUAAGACAAAAGCUUCUAACUUUUUUCUAAGCGGUUAAACUCCGUUUAUAUUCCU
rnacentral:tRNA from 1 species